rnacentral:rRNA from 1 species
GUCGGACGCCGGGAGAUGAGUUUCGGUGUCGAAAGGGAAACAGCCCAGACUAUCAGCUAAGGUCCUUAAAUCUAUGCUAAGUGGUGAACGAGGUGAGGUUACUUGAACAACCAGGAGGUUGGCUUAGAAGCAGCCACCCUUUAAAAAGUGCGUAACAGCUUACUGGUCUAGUGACUUUGCGCGGAAAACUUAACGGGGCUAAGCAUAGUACCGAAGCUAUAGAUCUUGACGUAAGUCAAGGUAGUAGGGGAGCGUUCUGUCAGCGGUGAAGGUCGAUCGUAAGGGCGACUGGAGCGGACAGAAGUGAGAAUGCAGGCAUGAGUAGCGUACAAACACGUGAGAACCGUGUUCGCCGUAAAUCUAAGGUUUCCGACGCCAGGUCAUUCCGCGUCGGGUUAGUCGAGUCCUUAGCCGAGGCCGAGAGGCGUAGGCGAUGGACAUCCGGUCAACAUUCCGGAACCGCUAGAAAGUGCGAUGGGAGGACGCAACGAGAUAGGCCAGCCCAUUAUUGGAUUUGGGUGCGAUCCAUU